UAUUCAACACGUGUGCGACUUAAGUGGAAACAUGGCAGUGGCAGGCACUGAAAAAGAUUAGAGGUCUGGAAAAUGUGGCUUCAGAGUAGAGCUUUAACAAAUGGCAGCUAAUUAGCCCGAAGAAGAAAGAACUAAAGAAGCAGUAUUAUAACAGUAAUCAAGAAUGUAAGAUUGUGUCAUGAAGAAGAAAGGCAUGAUUUGCUCCUCUGUGCCCAUGGUGAACAGUCUACACAGUCAGAUGUACAACUGCUGCUAAGUCAUCACAGAGCACUGACACCUCUCACCCAGGCUCCUGCCUUCACCAGUGGCUGGUCACAGAGAUUUCAGAGGCUGGUGUGUGAUUUUCCCUUUCAAAAGAAAAACAUGAAAUUGAAUUCAAGACUAUUUUUCUUCUUCAUAGAAUUAAAAGAUUCUCCUCUCACCUGUGAGGAUGGCAGACUACUUUAUUCUGUGGCAUACUAUAAAUCCUUUGGACUCACUGAUUGGAGCUUAUCAGCAAGAUGCCUCUCUCUCCAUAUGCUUCUGUGAGAGAAGUCCCUCAUCUGCUCAUCUUGGCGAUGUAAGCUGUGUAAGCUGAAAUCCUUAAUUCACACAGAAUCACAGAAUGGCCCGGGUUUGGAAGGACCCCAAGGAUCAUGAAGCUUCAACUCCCCCCACCGCAUACAGGGCCACCAACCUCCACAUUUAAUACUAGAGCAGACUGCCCAGGGCCCCAUCCAACCUGGCCUUGAACACCUCCAGGGACGGGGCAUCCACAGCCUCUCUGUGCAGAGAGGUUCUUCAUGCAGGAGGGAUUGCUAUCCUUAACUUUAUCGGGUGAGAUCUAACAGAGCAUUUUUACCAGCCCUGGCUGUAGAGACUGUGUGGGACACCUCCCCAGCUGUGCUGGAGCACAGGACAAACCCCCGCCUCAUGCACUUUAUUAAUUUCCUUUAUUCAUUUGCUGACGACCUUUCCUUUAUCACACAUGAAACGUUUUCAGCAUAAAAAGACCAAAGGAACUCUAUCCUGCUUCUUCCUAUCUCGGCCUGAAUAGGUUAAAUUGCCAUGGUUACCUCUCCUGCGCUGCUAGACCUUGAAAUACAUCUCUAUUUCACUUCAGCUUUCCAAGCUCAAAGCUGAGCUCUAGACAAAUUUAGGAAGACUUUCCAUCAGGAUAUUAGCUCCCCUCCCAGAAGUCCCCUUUUGGGUUUCGCUCAUGCCUCCAGCUUUCUUCUGUGCCUGUUUAAACCAACAGUUGCAGCAAACCUCCAAAUCAACAGCCUUGUCAGGAUGAAUAAUCUAAAAUUAAUGUGCACUUGUCGACACGCAUUACUGUUCCUGACAGAGACGCGUUGCCGGCGCUGGCUACAAACCGACAGUCCUUCAGAAGAAGUUUGCUCAGCGCAGUCUCAGGGCUGAUGGAGAGCAGGGAUAAGGCUGGCAGCCGGGUUUCAGCCGAUAAGUACGAUGGCUCCUGACACGGCAGGCUCGCAGUGAAUCCACCAAAGACCAGGCUGCCUGCUUUUCUUUCUUUCUUUCUUUUUUUUUUUUCUUUUCAUUUUCCUGCCGUUUGCUUUACUCUCACUGGUGGUGGUUAUCACAUUUACACAGCACCCCCUGAGAAAUCAUCCAGAUCGGUUCUGAACAUCUUGUUUUUACCACCCUCGACUUCAAGUGGCAGAGCGGGCGCGUGAAUAACCCAGCGCACCUCAGGAGCAUCGCAGCCACACGCUUUAACCCGUACCUUUGUGCCUGGCUCUCCCACUCCCACCUUGCUUUUUUUCACAGCUUAGCUCUUAAAAUCCUGCAUUCUCUGCUGCAGUGGUAAGGGAAAACUGCAGUGAGUGAAGACAGAGCGGGACAUGGGACGGAAUCCGUAAAAGCAGGUGUAGGGCUGAGGCUGUUAGCUCUGUGCCUGCUGGAGUAAUGAAACUCGCUUGGAAUGAAAAUAAAAGAAUGAAGUAUU
rnacentral:lncRNA from 7 species